rnacentral:rRNA from 1 species
CCGGGAAACUGGGGCUAAUACCAGAUAGGCGAGGACGCCUGGAAUGGUUCUUCACCCAAAGGGCUUUGGAAACAUGCUUUUCAAAGUCGCCUGGGGAUGGGGCCGCGUCCGAUCAGGUUGUUGGUGAGGUAAUGGCUCACCAAGCCUAUAACCGGUACGGGCCGUGAGAGCGGUAGCCCGGAGAUGGGCACUGAUACAAGGGCCCAUGCCCUACGGGGCGCAGCAGUCGCGAAAACUCCGCAAUGCACGAAAGUGUGACGGGGCUACCCCGAGUGCCGUCCGCUGAGGAUGGCUUUUCCUCGGUGUAACUAGCCGGGGGAAUAAGGAGAGGGCAAGACUGGUGUCAGCCGCCGCGGUAAUACCAGCUCUCCGAGUUGUAGGGAUGAUUAUUGGGCUUAAAGCGUCCGUAGCUGGCUU